rnacentral:tRNA from 1 species
UCUAAUAUGGCAGAUAAGUGCAGUGGAUUUAAGCUCCAUAUAUAAAGCAAUAAACUUUUAUUAGAA